GGGCCCGGUUCAUGAGACGAUUUUUUUAGGGAAACCAGCAGAGCGCUCCCAACCGUCUACCUACCCCACCACGGCACCAUCUCGUCCGUCAUGCUAGCGUGCGUGCGUGCGUGCGUGCCAUCUUUGUCACCGCGCCCGCCGCUUGCCCCCCGUACGUGCGGCGCGCGAAUCUGAGCCCCCGUCAUCCACACGCCGCGGCGGUUAGGAUCCGGUUCCCGAUCGGCACCGACACGGGGAGAUCCGCCCAGAAAAUGACCCGGAAAAGUUCCAAAGCUGGCGCGCGGCGAGGAGAUGGAUGGGAUGGGGAAAUGAAGAGGGAGCGGCCGAGAAGGAGACGGCCGCGCCGCCGCCGCCGCGAGGCCAUGGCUGCCGGAGCGGUGGCGGCUCCGGCUCCGGCUCCAGGCGGCCCGGCGCACCCGGAUCCCGCGCGAGGUUGGUGGCGACGAUUUUUUAGGCGGUUCUUCUUCUCCGGCUCUGUUGGCUGUUUCAGUGUGCUUCUACUGCCACGGCCUGCCGCCCCUUGUUUCGCGGCGGAUCUGUCUCGAUCCGUUGAAGCUGGCACGCACAACGGAAGCAAGGUGGAGAGAACAUACAGGGUGCCGCUCGAGGGGGCGUGCACGCAUCGGCGUCCCCAGGAGCGUGGCAUGAGCAUGUUGGAGGGUGCUCAGCCUCGGUACAAUCGUUCUAGACUACAGGGAUAAUCAGUGCUAAUCCUUGAGCUCCAGCUUCACUACUCACUACAGGGAUAAUUCACACAAUGCUUUCCCUGCAGGCGCAAGAAAUGGAUAAAUGUGAUGAAGCCCUUGGACUGCUGAAUUUGCACUGGAGUCUGUCCUAAACUAUUCAGGAGCUUACCAACAACUGUCAUGCAUUCUUGGUCAUGAAUGCAGCCAGGCAGACUCCCCGACGGUGACACGGGAGAUUCAGUCGACCAUUUUUGUUCUAGGCUUGCAUUGUGUGAUUUUUCGGAAGCAUAUGCUCAAGCUGCAACAGUAUUGUGACUGCAGAAUUCAGCUAAAUUUCCGUUUUUUAUAGAGUACCGACCAGUCAAAUAUCAGUCCUGUUCACAUCACCUUGAUGCAAGCACAUCAUUGGAUCUCAGGUUUGCAUUGGUAAAAUUUGUAAGUUGUAGUCCUAGUAUGCAAGGCUGUUAGGUGCAUGGGUGUCAGGGGUGCACUGUCAAGUUCUUUUAUAUCUGAAAGGGACCACUGAGCAAACGGUACUACCAUCUUUACACAUUACUACUGUGCAGUAACUUGCACCACUAGAUGCGAAACCCACCACAGGAUAGGAUAUAUCUCACAUAAAUCCAACGGUUAUGCUUCCCCUCUGCCUCUCCUAUACCCCUCCAUGGCGUUGGUCGGUGGCAUCCAUUUCCGAAAACAAAGCUAUGUCCAACCGUUGCUUCUGUGCUUCAGUAUGCAGGUGUUUCAGGAGAACAUAAACACGCAGCGCAGGAAUCAAGGCACACAACACGGUGAUAAGGGAUCACAAUGAGAUGAAAUACUUUUGUCACAACUGUCAAAUGUAAAAUUCCACAUGGACUUUAUUCUUUUUCGAAUCAGUGUCAGUUGCAUUUGUCGUAUGAAGUAUAUGUUACGGUCUGAUAAAUUUAUCCGUUCUCAUGACUGUAAACUGUCGAGCACCAUGUUAGGAGGGUAAAUCACGAACAGUUGAUGUUUUACACCUAUAACUUCAAGAGCAAGCACAAGCAGUCUUCAGGCCAUCCCAAGAUUGGGUCUGCGCUUUUCUAUCGCUAACCUGGCUCUGUUGUUUGUUAAGUCCAGGACGACAUUUCACAUGUAUGCUACUGAUAAUAGCCUGUUGCUGCAAGUGUUUGGUUGUUUUCUACUCCCUCCUUUCCAUAAUUAUGGAACAGAGGGAGCAGUAUUUUGUUAGCAUUGGAUCUCUGCACUUUCUCAGUUUCCUUACAUGAAAUCAGCGGUCGUCUACCUUCUGAACUGAAAGACAAACAAUUUUACUUAGCCUAGCAUAUUUGAUGAUUUACUGUUUGUUUACUUAUUUCUUCACUGCAAUUAACCACUAUGCAUUUGAGCAUUUGAUUCGUUAACUGAAUCUGAUUUCACGCAGACUUCAUGACUUUGACUUGCGAGAUUUGGUCCAACAUUGUGUUACACGCUUACAUUGGUGCUUUUCUGGAGUAACGAUCAAGCUGCAACAGUUUUGUGACUGCAGAAUCCAGCAGGCCUUGCAGGGUGUCUGAGGAGAAGAUAAACACGCUACACAGAAAUCAAUACACAAAGCAUGGUGAUCGGGGAUCACGAUCACGAUGAGAUGAGAUGAAAUACAGGAGGCAGCCUACUAGCUCAGAUUCCACGGUGAGCCAAGGUCCAUUCCAUCAAUCCCAUUUUACAGAGGGAGUACUACUUUAUUUACUUAAGUCCAGCUUCAGACAAACCCCCAAGCUUGCUGUCUGUGUGGUGAGCAAGCUGUUUCUUUUCUCACACAAACCCCGGGACUAACAGCAGUCAUGAAUUUCUUCAGCAAUCCUCAAAUGAGCUCAUGGUCUGCGUGUGUGCUACAGUGAAAUUAUAUGAUUCAGCAUGUGUAUCAACUCGGACACUUGGUAAACAGAUAUCAACUUGGUGAACGGAUGGAUACGGAAAACUUAUGAUUGAUGCUGGCUUGAUAGGUGCUGUUUGAUCCUCCCCCCUACACAGUCGGUGUCACAACGAACAUUGGAAGUUCAGACGGGAAGUUCACAACUUUUGACUUCGAGUCGCACGCGACCAAGUCAAGACCAAUAAUUCGGGUUAAAAAUAUCAUAAGGGAAAAAUUUAGGGUUGUCUACCUUCUGAACUGAAAGACUAAUACAGUUGUACUUAGCUUAGCACAUUCGAUGAUUCGAUGCUGCACUGUCUUAUUCCUUGUUUCUGUUUUGUGACUGCAGAAUUCAGCAGGGUGAAUUUCCGUUCCGUUUUGAAAACCGAGCAUUCAAAUUUCCGUUUUGCUCAGGUCACCUUGAUAUAUCUAAAUCAUCGUUGGAACUUAGGUUUGCACUGGUAAAAUUAGUAAGCUGUAACUCUAGUAUGCAAAGCUGUUAGGUGCAUGAGGGUGUGCUGUCAAAUUUCUUUUAUAUCUGAAAGGGACCUAUGAGCAAUUGGUGGAAGUACUUGUGUAGGGCUAUAACCCACAGAGCACCAUCUCUACACAUUACUACUACUGCACAGUAGUAAUUUGCACCACUAAAUGCCAAACCCCACACAUAACUCAAAUAAAAGCCAAUGCCUGUGCUUCCUCUCUCUGCCUCUCCUCCACCCCUCCAUCACUGUUUCUACUUGCUGAUGUUGGAGAAGAUGAUUAGGGUUGUUGGUGUCGGUUGGUGGCAUCCAUUUCUGCUGCCCUUUUUUUGUUCAGCCACUUGGCAUUGUGAUCUCCACAGCUGCUCUACAGACUCGAGAGCCUGCCUGCGCCAUUGUCUUCAUCAUGGGUGACAUCUAUUUCUGAAGGCAAAGCUGUCUGUAACCAUGGCUUCUGCUCGCUCCAGUGCGCAAGGUGUCUUGGGAGAAGAUAAAUGCGCCACACAGAAAUUAAGACACGAAGCACGUUGAUGAUCGGGGAUCACGAUCACGAUGAGAUGAAAUACAGGAGCUAGGCAGCUUUGCUCAGAUUCUACUGUGAGCCAAGGUUCCAUUCGGUCAUUCCCAUGUACUUUGUUUACUUCAGUCCAACUUCGGACAAAACACAGGCAAGCUGUUUUUUACUACUCACAAACCGUCGGAUCACCAGCAGGUGACAGAUCUAUUUAUAUUUUGCUGAUAAUAGCCUGUUGCUGCAA